UCAGACGAUGCGUCAUGCAUAUCAAUAAGCGGAGGAAAAGAAACUAACAAGGAUUCCCUUAGUAACGGCGAGUGAAGCGGGAAGAGCUCAAAUUUGAAAUCUUCAAGGUUUUACCUUGACGAAUUGUAGUUUAAAGAAGUGUUUUCUGUUGAAGUUUUGGUAAAAGUUCUUUGGAAUAGGACAUCAUAGAGGGUGAGAAUCCCGUAUUUGACCAUUAUUUUCAGCUGUGUGAUACACUUUCAAAGAGUCGGAUUGUUUGGGAAUGCAGUCCAAAAUGGGUGGUAAAUUUCAUCUAAAGCUAAAUAUUGGCGAGAGACUGAUAGCGAACAAGUACCGUGAGGGAAAGAUGAAAAGAACUUUGAAAAGAGAGUUAAACAGUACGUGAAAUUGUCAAAAGGGAAGCGUUUGACACCAGUGUUGUUUUCUCGAAAAUCAAUUAAAAAGAGUUGGAUUUUGUGUUGUAUUGACCUUAACAGCUUGCUUCACUCUUUUCCUGCUUUUUUUAAUGCACUUUUCGUUUAACAAGUCAACAUCAGUUUCUUUUGUUGUAAAAGGGUCAUUGGAAGGUGGCUUUCUCUUCGGAGAAAGUGUUUAUAGCCUUUGAUCUCUGCAAUCGGAGAGACUGAGGUCUGCAGCGUAGAUCCUUCGGGGUUAGAUACAUUUGUGCUAAGCUACAGCUUUUCAUAGACAACUUGUUGACUAUGUUUAGUCUUGUAACUUACCCGCUUAUGCUAUUUUACCUACGCUUAGGAUGUUGAUAUGCAUGACUGAUAU
rnacentral:rRNA from 1 species